rnacentral:rRNA from 1 species
GUUGUAUGGUUAAGUGACUAAGCGUACACGGUGGAUGCCUUGGCAGUCAGAGGCGAUGAAGGACGUAUUAACUUGCGAUAAGCCCAGAUUAGGUAGUAAAAACCUGUGAGUCUGGGAUUUCCGAAUGGGGAAACCCACUUACAUAAGUAAGUAUCGCUGCGUGAAUACAUAGCGC